GGGAAAGUACAAAAUGUUAACUCAUUUCAUCUACUUUUUGAGAAAUUUACAAAAGGUGAAGGUUGGUUUAAAUCAUUUCAGGUAUAUAUGGAGCUUUAUAAGUUUUCCGGUACAUUGCCAUACCGGCGUUCGGAAACAAGCGCGAGAGGAGUUUACAGGGGAAAAAAAUUAAAGAAAAAGCAGCAACGAAUGAGUGAAUUUAUUCAUUUGUUGGUAUUUGCAUUAACUCUCUUGCCAAACGCCCCGAGAGCGCUAGUACUAUUACUGUUUCAUGGACAUUUCCGACAGAGUAUUGAGUACUAAGCACCGUUCACUCUUUUUGUGGUCCAGUUCAUCAAAGCUUCGUUACUUUCCACAGUGAGAUCUCACGCCCUAGCUCAACCCCCUCUCUGACAUUUGUGGUAUCUCCUGUUUGGUUGUCAACUAACUGUAUAAAUGGCUCUGCUGGUGUUGGGGUUCUUCUGAUGAGAGCUCGACUUGUUCUGGGAUUGUUUGUAUCGCCAUAUACUUACACAAGGUUGCAGAAAUAUCCCUUUCUUGGCUUCAUCUCAGUUUCAGGUUAACCUUAGAUCUACAUAGUCCAUUUUUUUAAAGAUGUUGAUAUAACCAGUCUCUGUCUUAAAAUUAUCAAGUCAUAUAGUAACAGAAUCCGCGUAUGCAUCGAAUGUCAAAACGAAAUUGUUGUGUUCUGCAUUGUGAGAUGAAUUCUGGGAAUAAUAAGUUGCACAUUUUUGUAUGACUGGAAAAGAAAGAUGUAAUGGAUGCAUGAACUUUGUUUUAAAGUCA